GAUGAAGAACGCAGCGAAAUGCGAUACGUAAUGUGAAUUGCAAAUUCAGUGAAUCAUCGAGCCUUUGAACGCACAUUGCGCCCGUCAGUAUUCUGGCGGGCAUGCCUGUUCGAGCGUCAUUACGCCCCUCAAGUCCCCUGUGGACUUGGUGUUGGGGAUCGGCGAGGCUGGUUUUCCAGCACAGCCGUCCCUUAAAUUAAUUGGCGGUCUCGCCGUGGCCCUCCUCUGCGCAGUAGUAAACCACUCGCAACAGGAGCCCGGCGCGGUCCACUGCCGUAAAACCCCCCAACUUUUUAUAGUUGACCUCGAAUCAGGUAGGACUACCCGCUGAACUUAAGCAUAUCAAUAAGCGGAGGA
rnacentral:misc_RNA from 1 species